UUCGGGGUGAUAGAUGGUUACGAUCUUUACUUUUUACUUGUAUUGUUGUUUUUUUAAAAUAAUUUUUCUCAUGGGCAAGGAUAAAUAUAUUAUGUCGGGCUGUAUAUAAUAUCAAAUGCAUGAGUUUUGCUUGUUUGUAAACUUGCAAACGAAGUUUCGCUCGAGGCGUUUGCCGCAUGUAUUUAUUGCCGCAUCUAUAUUUUUCGUUUUCAAUAUUC